rnacentral:rRNA from 1 species
UUCCAGACUCCUACGGGAGGCAGCAGUGGGGGAUAUUGGACAAUGGGGGAAACCCUGAUCCAGCGACGCCGCGUGAGUGAAGAAGUAUUUCGGUAUGUAAAGCUCUGUCAGCAGGGAAGAAAGAAAUGACGGUACCUGACUAAGAAGCCCCGGCUAACUACGUGCCAGCAGCCGCGGUAAUACGUAGGGGGCAAGCGUUAUCCGGAUUUACUGGGUGUAAAGGGAGCGUAGACGGCAAUACAAGUCGGAAGUGAAAUACCCGGGCUCAACCUGGGAACUGCUUUGGAAACUGUAUGGCUAGAGUGCUGGAGAGGUAAGCGGAAUUCCUAGUGUAGCGGUGAAAUGCGUAGAUAUUAGGAGGAACACCAGUGGCGAAGGCGGCUUACUGGACAGUAACUGACGUUGAGGCUCGAAAGCGUGGGGAGCAAACAGGAUUAGAUACCCUAGUA